ACAGUGCCAUCAUGUUAAAAAAACAUAGAAGAAUAAGACCUAUUGAUGAGGCAAAGUCUUAUAUUCUGUACAAAAGUGACAAGCCUGGUUUUUUGGAACGUUUUAUAAGUAACAGCAAAGGUCGAGGAGUGUUUGAGCCUGGAGAGUUUCUCCUUGAGUACAGAGGUGAACUCCUGGAAGCAGAGGAAUACCAGGCCAGAGAUUAUUCUGAACUGGAGAGCACAUAUCUUUUUGAGUUCAUCUGGCAGGGCCGUCACUGGUGAUGAAUUUAUUCCGGAAGUUGAGGACAGUGUGACAUCCCUGCAAGAACCUACUUCCACAGUAUAUUCCCAACACCAACCUAAAAAGAGAGGUAAACAAACUGCUGUUAAAAAAAGCUGGACAGCAAAUGAAUGUGCUGCAGUAGAAAAGCACCUCAAGAAGUUCUUUGUGAGGAACCAAGUUCCAAGGAAAAUGGACUGUCAGCGCUGCAUUGAUGCUGAAGCUCAAGUUUUAGAUAGUCGAGACUGGAAGGCAGUCAAAUUCUUCAUCAAAAACCGUAUUACUUCCAUAAGAAGAAAAGUACAGCAACAUACAGGUAUCUCAUCCUUCCCACUUGUGUUCACAUUGGGACACAAGUUCAAAGUGUUUUCAAAAAAAGGUCAGUCACUUUCUCUUGAUUUUGUUUUCAUUUGUAUUAUCCUCUUCAAGGGUUAGUUCACCCCCCAAUUUUUUUUUUAAAAUAAACUUUCUUAGUCAUUCUAAACCCAAAAGAAAUUUGUUCAUCCAAACACAAAUGAAGAUAUUUUGAGUGAAACCUUAGAGAUUUCUGUCCCACUGCUGAAAAUCUGUCCAUCCUAAACUGUUUACUUGCAUUGUGAUGCCUUGAGUUGGAGCAUGUUUCUUUUUGUAGGGAACUGCCCAUUGUGUAUUACCAAAUACAUGCUCAAUGAGGACAUAUCAUGUCGUUUUUAAGUUAAUAUGUUUUUAUUUUUUUCUUACUGGUUCUUCAUAUAAGAAAUUUGCAUUGUUAAUUUGGGACGGGUUGCCAUUUUCUUUCGGUACCUGUUUUCUCCUAUUUAUGUUAGUAAGGGAGGUAAUGUAUUUUGAUUUUAUUUUUUUAUAUUUUUUUGUUUUCUUUUGUUUUCUUUUGGUAGUUAGUUAGUUAGUUUCACUUUUUAUUUAGGUAGAUGCUAAGUUUAUUUGUUGUAUUGGCCUGAGCUCCCUCUUGAAACCUUUGAAUCCUCCCGCAUCUGUAAAUAAGUUAUGUUCUUGAUUAUUUCUUUUGAGGUUGAUUGUUUAUCCUCACAGCUGAAACACACACAACACCAUUCUUAUUCUGUUAUGUGACUUCCCUCUCCUAGACUUGAUAUGGAAAUUUAACAGAAUUUGGGGGCUUGUCCGGGAUUUGGGGAUCGACCCUGGACCUCUCGCAUCUGAAGCGACCUAGAUCAUAUACUGGGUAAUUGCCAGCAAAGUUUAGGUCAUCCCACAACUCAGUCCAGCUUGUUAUACUAUGCAGUACCUCCACAGUCAAAAAGUGUGGUUAUGCAAAAGAUCUGCCACCUCUUAUCCAUGAUCUAAAGUCAUUGGAGCAACUGUAAUAAACUAGAAAAAACUGUGAGGGGUACAGCAUUAUUUGCUGCUGCUGAUGAUAAUCUAGGUUCCCACUACUCCUGUAGGAUUCUCUGGUGAAAAGUUCUGCAGAUUCUGUUUGGCAAGCAAUAGUGAUGCUCUGCAACACAAGGCAUGUUCUGGUCUCUUUUAAUUCAGAGACAAAGACUCACAUGAGACAGGGAAGAAAAACACUUGCUCAGCACAAUGGAGUACAUUUUGUUAACUUUGUGGCUUGUUAUUUUGAGUUGUUUCGGCAGCGGUGACACACAGCCUAAUACACACUCCUAAUACAUUGUUUAACAGAUCUACUUCUUAUGCUUCCUACUAUAUAUUUGUAUCAGAAUAUAUCAGAAGGUACGGGAGGAUGCAAUGCAAGGAUGACCAUCAAUGUCGGUUCUGGGACAUCAGUGUGGGUUGGCCCGGGAAAGGUGCGUGAUGGUGAAAAUAAACGAAUAUGGACUCUUUUUAUUUUACAUUUGGGUUUCAUGUCAUGGAUUGGUAAACUUGUAAAGCAGUGAAUGGGUGAUU